rnacentral:rRNA from 1 species
AUUGAACGCUGGCGGCAUGCCUAACACAUGCAAGUCGAACGAGUGGCGGACGGGUGAGUAAUGUCUGGGAAACUGCCUGAUGGAGGGGGAUAACUACUGGAAACGGUAGCUAAUACCGCAUACCAUCAGAUGUGCCCAGAUGGGAUUGGCUAGUUGGUGGGGUAACGGCUCACCAAGGCGACGAUCCCUAGCUGGUCUGAGAGGAUGACCAGCCACACUGGAACUGAGACACGGUCAAGAUGCUAACGGGAGGAAGCAGGGGGGAAUAUUCCCCAAUGGGCGCAAGCCUGAUGCAGCCAGGCCGCGUGGAUGAAGAAGGCCUUCGGGUUGUAAAGUACUUUCAGCGGGGAGGCGUUACCCGCAGAAGAAGCACCGGCUAACUCCGUGCCAGCCGCCGCGGUAAUAC